rnacentral:rRNA from 1 species
AGGACGAACGCUGGCGGCGUGCCUAACACAUGCAAGUCGAGCGGAGUUAACAAGAGGAAGUUUCGGAUGGAAUUUGUUAAUUAGCGGCGGACGGGUGAGUAACGCGUGAGCGACCAACCUUGCACAGGGGGAUAACGGACCGAAAGGUUCACUAAUACCGCAUGAGACCACGGUGUUGCAUGACACAGAGGUCAAAGGAGCAAUCCGGUGCAAGACGGGCUCGCGUCCGAUUAGGUAGUUGGUGGGGUAAUGGCCCACCAAGCCUAUGAUCGGUAGCCGACCUGAGAGGGUGAUCGGCCACAUUGGAACUGAGAUACGGUCCAAACUCCUACGGGAGGCAGCAGUGGGGAAUAUUGGGCAAUGGGGGGAAACCCUGACCCAGCAACGCCGCGUGAAGGAAGAAGGUUUUCGGAUUGUAAACUUCUGUCCUUGGUGAAGAGAAGAAGACGGUAGCCAAGGAGGAAGCCCCGGCUAACUACGUGCCAGCAGCAGC